GACGAACUGCGCAAACGUUAUUCGGAAUCACUGGGCUUAAAGAGUCCGUAGGCGGCCUUGCAGGUGAGGUGUGAAAUCCCACGGCUUAACCGUGGAAUUGCGCUUCAAACCGCAAGGCUCGAGGAAGAUAGAGGAGAGCGGAACUGAUGGUGGAGCGGUGAAAUGCGUUGAUAUCAUCAGGAACACCGGUGGCGAAAGCGGCUCUCUGGGUCUUUUCUGACGCUGAGGGACGAAAGCCAGGGGAGCAAACGGG
rnacentral:rRNA from 1 species